AUUGAACGCUGGCGGAAUGCUUUACACAUGCAAGUCGAACGGUAGAGGGGGCAACCCCUCGAGAGUGGCGAACGGGUGAGUAAUAUAUCGGAACGUGCCCAGUCGUGGGGGGUAACGUAGCGAAAGUUACGCUAAUACCGCAUACGAUCUAAGGAUGAAAGCGGGGGAUCGCAAGACCUCGCGCGAUUGGAGCGGCCGAUAUCAGAUUAGGUAGUUGGUGGGGUAAAGGCUCACCAAGCCAACGAUCUGUAGCUGGUCGGAGAGGACGACCAGCCACACUGGAACUGGGACACGGUCCAGACUCCUACGGGAGGCAGCAGUGGGGAAUUUUGGACAAUGGACGCAAGUCUGAUCCAGCCAUUCCGCGUGCAGGAUGAAGGCCCUCGGGUUGUAAACUGCUUUUGUACGGAACGAAAAGGUCUCUCUUAAUACGGGGGACUCAUGACGGUACCGUAAGAAUAAGCACCGGCUAACUACGUGCCAGCAGCCGCCGUAA
rnacentral:rRNA from 1 species